CGCGGCCUAUCAGCUUGUUGGUGAGGUAAUGGCUCACCAAGGCUUCGACGGGUAGCUGGUCUGAGAGGACGAUCAGCCACACUGGGACUGAGACACGGCCCAGACUCCUACGGGAGGCAGCAGUGGGGAAUCUUGCGCAAUGGGCGAAAGCCUGACGCAGCGACGCCGCGUGGGGGAUGAAGGCCUUAGGGUCGUAAACCCCUUUCAGCAGGGACGAAGAUGACGGUACCUGCAGAAGAAGCCCCGGCCAACUACGUGCCAGCAGCCGCGGUAAGACGUAGGGGGCGAGCGUUGUCCGGAAUUAUUGGGCGUAAAGGGCUCGUAGGCGGUUCGGUAAGUCGGAUGUGAAAACUCAGGGCUCAACCCUGAGACGCCAUCUGAUACUGCUGUGACUUGAGUUCGGUAGAGGAGUGUGGAAUUCCUGGUGUAGCGGUGAAAUGCGCAGAUAUCAGGAGGAACACCAACGGCGAAGGCAGCACUCUGGGCCGAAACUGACGCUGAGGAGCGAAAGCGUGGGUAGCAAACAGGAUUAGAUACCCUGGUAGUCCACGCCGUAAACGGUGGGCACUAGGUGUGGGGCCUUAUCAACGGGUUCCGUGCCGAAGCUAACGCAUUAAGUGCCCCGCCUGGGGAGUACGG
rnacentral:rRNA from 1 species